UACGUAGGGGGCAAGCGUUGUCCGGAAUCAUUGGGCGUAAAGAGCGUGUAGGCGGCCCGGUAAGUCCGCUGUGAAAGUCCAGGGCUCAACCCUGGGAUGCCGGUGGAUACUGUCGGGCUCGAGUCCGGAAGAGGAGUGUGGAAUUCCUGGUGUAGCGGUGAAAUGCGCAGAUAUCAGGAGGAACGCCUGUGGUGUAGACGGCUCUCUGGACCAUUACUGACACUGAGGUACGAAAGCGUGGGUAGCAAACAGG
rnacentral:rRNA from 1 species